AGUGGCGGACGGGUGAGUAACGCGUAAGAAUCUAACUUCAGGACGGGGACAACAGUUGGAAACGACUGCUAAUACCCGAUGUGCCGCGAGGUGAAACCUAAUUGGCCUGAAGAAGAGCUUGCGUCUGAUUAGCUAGUUGGUGGGGUAAAGGCCUACCAAGGCGACGAUCAGUAGCUGGUCUGAGAGGAUGAGCAGCCACACUGGGACUGAGACACGGCCCAGACUCCUGCGGGAGGCAGCAGUGGGGAAUUUUCCGCAAUGGGCGAAAGCCUGACGGAGCAACGCCGCGUGAGGGAGGAAGGUCUUUGGAUUGUAAACCUCUUUUCUCAAGGAAGAAGUUCUGACGGUACUUGAGGAAUCAGCCUCGGCUAACUCCGUGCCAGCAGCCGCGGUAAUACGGGGGAGGCAAGCGUUAUCCGGAAUUAUUGGGCGUAAAGCGUCCGCAGGUGGUCAGUCAAGUCUGCUGUCAAAUCAGGUUGCUUAACGACCUAAAGGCGGUGGAAACUGGCAGACUAGAGAGCAGUAGGGGUAGCAGGAAUUCCCAGUGUAGCGGUGAAAUGCGUAGAGAUUGGGAAGAACAUCGGUGGCGAAAGCGUGCUACUGGGCUGUAUCUGUCACUCAGGGACGAAAGCUAGGGGAGCGAAAGGGAUUAGAUACCCCUGUAGUCCUAGCCGUAAACGAUGGAUACUAGGCGUGGCUU
rnacentral:rRNA from 1 species